CCUACGGGUGGCAGCAGUGAGGAAUAUUGGUCAAUGGGCGCGAGCCUGAACCAGCCAAGUAGCGUGAAGGAUGACUGCCCUACGGGUUGUAAACUUCUUUUAUAAAGGAAUAAAGUGAGGCACGUGUGCCUUUUUGUAUGUACUUUAUGAAUAAGGAUCGGCUAACUGCGUGCCAGCAGCCGCGGUAAUACGGAGGAACCGAGCGUUAUCCGGAUUUAGUGGGUUUAAAGGGAGCGUAGAUGGGUUGGUAAGUCAGUUGUGAAAGUUUGCGGCGCAACCGUAAAAUUGCAAUUGAUACUGGCAGUCUUGAGUACAGUUGAGGUAGGCGGAAUUCGUGGUGUAGCGGUGGAAUGCUUAGAUAUCACGAAGAACUCCGAUUGCGAAGGCAGCUUACUAAACUGCCACUGACAUUGAUGCUCGAAAGUGUGGGUAUCAAACAGGAUUAGAUACCUGGGUAGUC
rnacentral:rRNA from 1 species